GGGAACGGGCUGCAGCUGCCCCAGGGGAGGCUGAGGCUGGAGCUGAGGCUGAGCUGUUUCCAUGAGAGGGGUGUCAGCCCUGUGCCAGGCUGCCCAGGGAGCUGGGGCAGUGCCCAGCCCUGGAGGGAUCCCACAGCCGUGGGGCUGAGGUGCUGAGGCCAUGGGUCAGUGGUGACCGUGGCGCUGUGAGGAGGGGGCUUGGAGCACAGGAACAUAAAGAGCUUUCCCAGCCCAGAUGGGUCUGUGGUUCUGUAGUUUUGCUCUUCUCAAGAUAAAGCAUUUCCCAGGGAAUCUUUACAGACAUGCAGCAGGAGUUCAGCUUGUCCCUGCUUGCUGCUGGGCAUCUGGGCUGUCAGAAGGGAGCAGUGAGCCAGCUGAAGGACACAGAAGCCCCAGGCUGGAACGCUUGAGACCAAAGCUCCUACUCCCCCAUCUCCUGAAAGGUGCCAAGAUGUCCCAGGCCAAGUCUGUUCCUGUUUGCAUCUAAUGAAGUUUUCCUCCUCUCCUUGUCCUCCAGCAGUGCCCAGCACACGGGUUCCUGACGGGGCAGGCGAUGGGGUGAUGUACGUGCCCCUCCUGGCACCUGAGGAGCAGCUGGAUGUGCUGGAGGGGCUGGACUUCGUGUUGAGAAACAUUGCAGAGCUCAGAAGAGAAGUGCAGGAGCUCCGGGACGCCCUGCAGCAGCUGGCAGCCCAGAUCCUCAGUGAAGUCAGGGCCCAUCUGGAGGAAAGCCAGCGAGCAAGUCGCCGGCGGCGGUUCCCGUUUCCUCGCGAGAGAAGCGACUCCACGGGCUCCAGCUCCAUCUACUUCACAGCCAGCUCAGGAGCAGCCCCCACGGACGAUGGCGAGAGCGAGGGAGGGUACAGCACAGCCAACGCCGAGUCCGACUACGAGCGGGAGAGCGAGGACGGGGAGGAUGAAGUGAGCGGUGAGACCGUGAGAGCUGCCCACAGGGACUCCCUGGACCUCGUUGGCGAGGAUGAAGCGCAGCUGGGCUCAGCCCCCUCUCCGGAGGAGGGGCUGGGGCAGCUCCUGCGGCAGGCUGACCGCCUGCACGGCGGCGGCGAGCGGGACAAGAGGGAGGGAUUCCAGCUGCUGCUCAACAACAAGCUGGCGUAUGCAGAGCACAGGGACUUCGCGUGGCGCCUGGCCCGAGCACACAGCGACAUGUGCGAGCUCGCGGGGGACGCGGACGAGAAGAGGUCGUACGCCUCUGACGGGAAAGAAGAGCUAGAGGUUGCCUUGCAGAAAUGGGACCAAAGUGCCGAGUGCCAUCAGUGGUUCGCUGUGCUGUGCGGGCAGCUGGCGGAACACGAGGGCAUCCAGAAGCGCAUCCACUCGGGCCGUGUUUUUAAGGAGCACAUUGACAAAGCCAUUGAGCUGAAACCAGAGGAUCCAAAGUCUCACUACCUUUUGGGCAGGUGGUGCUAUCAGGUCUCCCACCUGGGAUGGCUGGAAAAGAAGACUGCCUCAGCUUUGUUUGAAGCCCCUCCCACAGCCACCAUAGAGGAGGCGCUGCAGAGCUUCUUACGGGUCGAGGAGCUGAGCCCUGGCUUCUCCAAAGCAGGGAGAGCAUACAUUGCCAAGAGGCAGGGCCUUACAGGGUAACAUUUCAGAGAAAGGGGGGCACUGAGCUUCAGGGAGGGUUCUGCCUUUGAGUCAUCCACUGGAGCAUCCUCCUUGCUGUGAGGUGGAGCCUUGGGCAGUGAUGGCUUACACCACCAGUGCCUGGAGCUGCAGCUCUGCAGCUCUUUGGCUUCGUACUGAGGAACCCUUGGUUCUGAACUCCUCCAUCAUUAAACUGCUGCUUGUUUCCUACAACCUCCAGUUGGAGUCUAGAAAGAUCUACAGCCCAGGUAAAUGUUAACCAGAGCACAGCAAAGGGGAGCUGUGCUCAUUCUGUGACCUCCCUGAGCUCCCAGUGCCCCCCAGAGGGUGAGUUUGUCAGGGUCCUGGGAGCUGCUUGGCCUGCAGUACCUGCCUACUGGAACCUAGGUGCAGGAUUUACGUCACAGCACCUCAUGGAAGGAAAACAAAGGUGAUGGCAGAGGAGGAAAUCCCAGCAAGAGGUGCAGGAGCCUUCACACCAGCUGCAUUUCCUCUUUGAUACAUGGCAGCUCACUGGGUGCCUUCAGCCACGGGUCUGUCAGGGAACCAGCACCCACAGAAGUUCAAAAGCAGCCCUAAGUAUCUGGUGUGUGAGUAAAGAGGGGAAGAGUUGAGGCUUGUUUCCAGUGAAGCUGCAGCAGCUCCUUGCAAGUCUGAACCUGGAGAGACUUUCAGAGCUGAUGUGAAGCCUGGGGGGGAUCUGGAUGGGCAUCAUGGUGCAUUGGCAUUGGGCUGACAGUUCACCACGAGCCUGGCAGUGUUACAGGGACCUGGGGAACAAGACUGCAGCUCUGCUCUGGAUGGAUCUUGCUUCAGAGCUGCCUGUGAAUACAAAAGAGG